ensembl:lncRNA
UUUUUCUUAUUAAACAUGUUUUUUUUAUGGGGGGAACGUUUAAUUUAACAAAUCCUUGUUCCGAUCUCCUGACCCACAGUAUGUAAAGGUACAGCUGACUAUGUCGGUUGACCUGCAGUGCUUAGCAAUAUAAUCUUGAGGCUAUAUCUUGCUUAUCUCUGGGAUUGACCCAGGAUGACGCUUAAAUGCGCAAUAUGUUUAAGUUGCAACUUAUUCGGUUUAGGUUUAUUAGAUGCUAACUGAACACUUAACUCGCGGGAUCCUCCUCAGUUCAUAUGUUAGUAGAAGUUCUAGGAUAGUGAGAGGUGAAUGUAUAGUUGGGAUUUUAUUUUUGUUUUACCUCUUGUUCAAGGUCGCGCCGUGCUUUUUUGGCAUCGGCCAGACAAUGUGUUUAUUAUUUUUAUUUUUCCUUUUUUUUUUUCUCCUGUUUGUACAUGCCUGUUAAAUGUGGGUUGAUGGGGGGUAAGUGUUGGGGAAAUUAGGGGUACAGGGUGGGAAGUAAAGGUGCUUGCAGGGGGGGAGGGGUGGGUUGGAUACUGCUCGGGUGUAGGUGCUACAUAUGCUGAUCGUGAUGGUUUGGUGCGCUUUCUUACCUUUUUAUCAAGUUACAUGGUAUGCAGGCCACCAUAGGAACUACAAACGAGAGGAGGGCGGGGCUUACAUUCACUUCCUGGAAUGUCAAGGGUUUAAACGAACCAAUUAAGAGGGGCAAGGUCCUAGCCCACUUGAAAGCACUCUCGUCUGAUAUUAUAUUUUUGCAAGAAACCCAUCUGAAGAAUAACUCUCAUAGCAGACUUAAGUGUAGGUGGGUGGGCAAGUGUAUCACUCUAACUUCUCUGCCAAAACGAGAGGCACAGCGAUUCUGGUACGGAAAGGAAUUCCCUUUCUACAUAAAACCACUAUUGCGGAUAAAGAGGGUCGGUAUGUGAUCGUAAUAGGAGAAAUCCACUCUACCUCAGUAACUCUACUAAAUAUCUAUGGGCCAAACAUUGACAACCCCUCUUUUUUUCAAAAGAGUCCUUGCCCUGAUUCCAGAUAUCUCCCAUACUAACCUGGUCAUUGGAGGGGACCUUAGCUGUGUGCUAGACCAAUAUUUGGAUAGAUCCUCUACCCGGCG